UACGAAGGGGGCUAGCGUUGCUCGGAAUCACUGGGCGUAAAGCGCACGUAGGCGGCUUCUUAAGUCAGGGGUGAAAUCCUGGAGCUCAACUCCAGAACUGCCUCUGAUACUGAGGAGCUCGAGUCCGGGAGAGGUGAGUGGAACUCCGAGUGUAGAGGUGAAAUUCGUAGAUAUUCGGAAGAACACCAGUGGCGAAGGCGGCUCACUGGACCGGUAUUGACGCUGAGGUGCGAAAGCGUGGGGAGCAAACAGG
rnacentral:rRNA from 1 species